rnacentral:rRNA from 1 species
CCGAAUGGGGAAACCCAGUGCAAUUCGUUGCACUAUCGUUAACUGAAUACAUAGGUUAACGAGGCGAACCGGGGGAACUGAAACAUCUAAGUACCCCGAGGAAAAGAAAUCAACCGAGAUUCCCCCAGUAGCGGCGAGCGAACGGGGAGCAGCCCAGAGUCUGAAUCAGCUUGUGUGUUAGUGGAACGGUCUGGAAAGUCCGACGGUACAGGGUGAUCUGUCUCUUAUACA